AUAUUGGCGAGAGACCGAUAGCAAACAAGUACCGUGAGGGAAAAAAGAAAAGAACUUUGGAAAGAGAGUGAAACAGUACGUGAAAUUGUUGAAAGGGAAACGCUUGAAGUCAGUCGCAUUGUCUGGGAAUCAGUCUUGCUUUUGCUUGAUGUACUUUCCAGUUAAUGGGUCAGCAUCAGUUUUGAUCGUUGGAUAAAGGCUGGAGGAAUGUGGCAUCUUCGGAUGCGUUAUAGCCUUCAGUUGCAUACAACGGUUGGGACUGAGGAAUUCAGCACGCCGCAAGGCCGGGUCUUGUACCACGUUCGUGCUUAGGAUGCUGGCAUAAUGGCUUUAAUCGACCCGUCUUGAAACACGGACC
rnacentral:rRNA from 1 species